rnacentral:rRNA from 1 species
AGAUUGAACGCUGGCGGCAGGCUUAACACAUGCAAGUCGAACGAUGAAACUCUGGCUUGCUAGAGAUGAUUAGUGGCGGACGGGUGAGUAACAUUUAGGAAUCUGCCUAGUAGUGGGGGAUAGCUCGGGGAAACUCGAAUUAAUACCACAUACGACCUACGGGUGAAAGGGGGCGCAAGCUCUUGCUAUUAGAUGAGCCUAAAUCAGAUUAGCUAGUUGGUGGGUAAAGGCCUACCAAGGCGACGAUCUGUAACUGGUCUGAGAGGAUGAUCAGUCACACCGGAACUGAGACACGGUCCGGACUCCUACGGGAGGCAGCAGUGGGGAAUAUUGGACAAUGGGGGCAACCCUGAUCCAGCCAUGCCGCGUGUGUGAAGAAGGUCCUUUUGGUUGUAAAGCAACUUUAAGCAGGGAGGAGAGGCUAAUAGGUUAAUACCCUAUAGAUUAGACGUUACUGCAGAAUAAGCACCGGCUAACUCUGUGCCAGCAG